rnacentral:rRNA from 1 species
CGGCUAUCACUUUAGGAUGGACCCCGCGGUGCAUUAGUUAGUUGGUGAGGUAAAGGCUCACCAAGACCGUGAUGCAUAGCCGACCUGAGAGGUAAUCGGCCACACUGGGACUGAGACACGGCCCAGACUCCUACGGGAGGCAGCAGUAGGGAAUCUUCCACAAUGGACGAAAGUCUGAUGGAGCAACGCCGCGUGAGUGAAGAAGGUUUUCGGAUCGUAAAACUCUGUUGUUGGAGAAGAAUGUAUCUGAUAGUAACUGAUCAGGUAGUGACGGUAUCCAACCAGAAAGCCACGGCUAACUACGUG